CUUUUUUGUCACCCUGGCCCACUAAUCAGACCUCUGUGUUCCUGGAGAGUUUCUCAAUGGGGCAGCACUUUCUCUUCCUUCCAGGAGCUGCUGUCUGAGGGGACGAUCUACCCAGUUGGGUCCCUGAGCCUCAUGUGAAUCGGUCGGUAUGACCACUUAUCCUAACAACCAUAAGAAGCAUUGGCAAAAUUGGAGAAGUAGAGAAGACAGCAGUGCCAGGAAGACAGGAGGAGAACAACUCAAGUAAUGGCUGAGGAGAGAACAGACCCCCUGUAGAGAAAGGAGGAAAGAAUAUCAGGAGCCAAAGCUGGAGCAGUGACUGAAGUUCUACACCCAACGUGGGGCCUGAACUCAUGACCCCGAGAUCAAGAGUCACAUACUCCACCAACUGAGCCAGCCAUACUCUCUCCUGACCCUUGGAUAAUUGUGGGACCGAGGCACUGCUAGGUAUGAAUCUCGGUAAAAAUGAAUUAUUGCCCCUCCAGGGCGGAAGUGGCCCCGUGCUUGGAGACUGCGUCCUGCGGAUGUCAUUGUGUAGGGCUCAGCAUCACCUGAGGCUGCUGUGGGGCUGGAUGACCAGCCUUGCUGGUGGGAGCCCACUCUGUUGGGCCCAUGCACCCGUUCUUUCCUGGCUAUUCCAGCCCUGGGUCCCCCGUGCAAACACUGGGGCAGCGAGGAUGGAGGCUGGCUGACCUCCAGGAGAAGCGUGAGCCUGUCCAGUUGCUGCUCCAGGGCCUUCCCCGUGGUGGGUGCUCUCUGCUCCCCACUGGCUGAAGACAUAAAGACCUUUUUUUUUUUUAAAGAUUUUAUUUAUUUAUUUGACAGAGAGAGAGACAGCCAGCUAGA